UACUCGAUUAGUUAUUGUCAGAAAUUUUCAUGACGCGUCGGACGCGUCAAAAUACGUCAAGGGGUUAAAGGGAUUGAGAAAUACGUCUUUUCGAAAUAGCCUUUUCCAGACUUGUCAUCGUUUUUCUGUCCUUGAAUGCCUUUCAUUUAAUUUGAUUUCCGCGGCGUCUACACUUGUAUAGAUUAAGAAAUGUUUUGCAUUCUUCGUGUCUGGCAAUAACAACAGUCGGAGUCAUGUUUGUCAGCAACAGGCUUUUCGUUCGAACGUUCUAUCGCUUUAACUUUAAAGAAAACCAUUGUUAUACCUUAACAACGUUGGGUACUUACGUUCUUUAAAUGUUAAUUAGUAGAAUUGCCAAGUGAAAAAUGUUACUUUGAUGUGAAGAUUUUUAAUAUGCAACUGUAGCAUAUUUAUAGCUAGACUAUGGAUCCUUAUGCAAAAUAAAAAUUGUCAUUAAUUAUAAGAAACCUAAGUUCGAUGUCUUUUCUCUUAUUAGCAAUUGCAGCAAGUUCUCGAAUUCUUUUAAAGCUCUUAAAGGAGUUUCGUAUUCGAUCUGUUCAUUUUUAUCAUAAAUGCAUAAAAUCUGUGCUCUAUUUAUAACACAACGUGAGAAUGUUAUCAGAAAUUAUCUUCCUUAUAUCUGUCGGACGAUAUUUCGAAUUAUCACGGUAUUAACUUUCGAGAUCCAUCAAACGGUGCUUUACAUUUCACGUUAUUGCACGUACUCGGAACAGCUACAUCGAUGAAUAUUGAAUACACCUCGUCACGUUUUGCGUUACUAAUUAAUUCAUAACACUAGGUAUAAUCACUGACACGUUAAUUAGUUUACGAGCGACAGAAGUCAUGUUUAAACAUUCAUUUUACGCGACAGUAAAUAAUUUCUUGUAAUAUAUUGUUGAAAAUUUGUUGGAAGAAUCGGUCAACUUGCAUCAAGAAUUUCCAUCUUUUUUCGCUCGUUAGUUAUAUUAAAAAUUAAGCAUUUUGUAGAUCGCGUUCACUUUUUUUCACUGCAUAUUAAUCCUUUCGUAGAUCAUAUACACUGUUCAUGGAUUAAUAAAUAAUUAUUGGAGAUGAAUUAUCUGUAAUGACAUUUUAUCAAUAAACAUAUCGCAUUCGCAUUAAAAAAUUGAAUAAAAGACGGACAAUUUUCAUGUGUGGAAAGGUUAAUUUUAUUUGCAAAAAGGGCGAGCACGGUCUACAAAAAGGAUGAAUUUUUCGUGCAAAACCUUCAUAACACCGCUAAGCGAAUAUUGCGAACGCAAUAUUCGGAUGCCCUGGAAAUGUGCUAAUUAUGUUACACGUAAUCGAUACUUGCCUCACGUAAUAUGGAUUUUCCACUAAUUAAUACCUUCGAUUAUAUAUACUCAUCAUUUGCAGUAUGCCAUUCAGGUUGCCCGGAUUAAACGUGCGAUUUCCAACAGUAGAAAUUUCCGAACCAGAAGCAAAUUGGAUGUAAGCGUCGUGUAAUUACGAUAGUGCGAUGAGAAUACUCUAAUACGUAUUAAUUGAGGGAUCGUUUGGAUGCCGAUAGACACUUCUUGCAAUUUUGCAAAAUCGAUGGAAUCGAGAAUGCAGGGCGAAUUGAGUUUCGUUAGGAACAUUGUUAAAAAAUACUUCAUACUAAUUACAGUAGAGGGUGGUCGGAGAUUUUUUACGAUUCGUACCCGCUGAAACCCCUGUGGCGACCAACCUCGGAACCGCAAAGGAGGGCCCGGGAACUUUUACGAACGCAUCCGGUGCGUCCACGUGCAUACACUACCAUUCAAAAGUAUCCGGACACUUAUUCGUUAGCCGACGUCACCGAAAUAUCUUGCAAAUGGAUUGUUCAAAAUAGUUUCUAAUUAUAAUGCGAUUAAUCUGUUUGACAAUAGUUCUUUUAUAACCGUCAAAAACUACAAUAAUGUAAGACGUUCUUUUGACAUUAUUAUUUAAAAGAAGAUUACCGAGCUUCUCUUAGAUCACAGUUCAGCCAUCGAAAAGCUUGUUAGUAAGCAUCCAGUAAAAAGAAGUGUUAAAAUUGACGCCUGAGAUAAAUCGUUUUAUUUAUCAUUGUAUUUUUAAGGUUGACAAACGCGAGAUGAGAACGUUGCUAAUUAAAAUUAUGGGACGAAACAACUGGAAAUGUUAGAGCCAUGCGUUCAAGAUCUGAAAAAACAGCUGUAGAGAUUAAUAUAAUUGAACGAAAUAUAACAUAAAUAUUUAAUCGGAUAUAAAUUGGAGAAGAGAUUAAACUCAGAUUUCCAUGGAAGAAUCUGUUUCCAAGAGAAUCUGAAUAUUCAUCGGACACGCAUGCGUAAGCAUUUACAAGGAGAUGUUGCAAAUCAUGGUCAGACAUGUUAGUCGAUACCUGGGCAGUAGCCACGGAUACUUGACGAAUAUAUGAGGCGUUUAUAAACGCAUGUAUGCGGUAAUCGUUGGAAUUUUGCUAGGUGUCCGGAUACUUAUGAAGGGUAGUGUAUCUGCAAUAUAACCCAUCGUCUAACAUUAGUGUGUGGGAUCAAUUGCAGACAGAGUGGAGCAAUAGAAACAAAUGAGACUAUAACAAACAGCGCAUAAUGUACGAGAUUGAUCUCAGGAUACGAUCGCUAUGCAUUCUGCUUUAGCUAAGUAUAAAUGGAAACGUGAAACAGAAUUUGCAAACGUAUACCAGAUGCAUUCGGUUUUCUUCAAACGAAACCGAACGCUAGGUUUACGAGGUACUAAAAAAUGCUAUUUUAUAUUGCUUUGUGAAUAUAACAAGCACAUAUUUGUUCACAUUUGUAGCGACUUUUAUUGUAAUAUACGCUCACCGACGGAAGUUAUAUUUCUCAAUAUUUUGGCUUCGAAGAUAAAUAUACGAAGUAAUGAAGAUGAAGAGAAGUAAAACAAAAACUACGAAAUUAAAAUAAGAAUCGAACGAUUCUAAAUGAAUAAAAUUAAUAUCUUCGUUGACGCGAUACAAUUUGUAUCCUGUGCAGAAGGUUUCCUAUACUCAAAAAUGUGCAUCUGUGUAUGCACAUCUGUGUAUGCCCGACGAAACAGAUUCGUUGAAUAAAUUCUUACUAAAUGUAUCUUUAUAAUAUUAAUAAUCGUAAAUCAAAGAAUGUUUAACGUGUUGAAUAGACGGGUUCUGUAAACCUAGUUGUUAAAGUCUGCUUUCGUAUGACAAAUAAUUUCACCCUGAUUCACACAUACAAAAUUCCACCGUACGCUCGCAAUGAAAGUAACACGCUUUAAUCGAAGACGAUAUCUACGACAUCCGUCAAUUAAGUAUUUGAUCAGUAAACAUCGGUUGAUAACUAGAUAGAUCGAUAAAUGGUAGCGAAGGAAAAGCGUCGCGGUCAAUAGAUUAUUUUUACGAGCCAUUUUUAGUAUCGAUUCGAUACCGUAUUUACCGAGCGAGUGUUCCGAGAAUUUGAUGUUCUGUUUUAAUCGAUGAUAAUAUUAAUGGCGGUUGGAAACGAUGAAAAUUUGCUAGCCUGUUUUCUCGCGAACAACAAUUGCGUGUACCUACGUGCGGUACCGUACACCGUUAUACAUCGUCGAGCCGAUUUCCCAUUAGUAAAUAAGCUUUCGGGAUUGGUCUUUUAUUUUUAGAUCAACUUUUAUACACCCAAGGUUGUGGCAUCUGUUAAUCUAUAAAUAAGUCGCUCGGAAAUUCCUUUUUCACCGAUGUAUCGAUUCGUCCUACGAGCUUUCGAUUCACCGGCUAUAAAUGUGUUAACGUUGCUCUUGUUUGGCUCCGUGAGAACGGAAACGUGAAUGGAUUUCAUGAACCAGCUCGGCAAAUCGGUAAUCCCAUAACUUCGAUUAGGUAGACUUACCAAUGCGAUCUUAUUAACACUUUAUUUACUGGAAACCUAUCGGUAAGCUUUUUAACGACCGAAUUAUUCCUAAAAGAAGCUGAAUAAUCGUUUUAAAACACGUUAUUGCAUCAUAUUAAUUCACAUAAUUUGUUGAAUUAUGAGUUAGAUCGUUGUCGCUUUCGUGCUAUUUAUUAAGAAAUACUCAACCGUUUUAUUAUGUUAUGCAAUCAAAAGAUAGACCAUUGUUAUCUUGCACGAAGAUUUGCGAAUUUAGUAAAUAACGUCCGAGUUAUACAAAUGUUCCAGUAGUAGAAAAUUACGAACGAAACAAUUAUCCAGAUUUAUAUGAAAUAGUAA